CGCCGGAAGUUUAGAUAUGAAUGUAGAGAAUUGUAUCUUGUAGACAGGAAUGUGACAGUCUUGCCAACGUUGUUGCCCUAACCGUUAAUUACCGGUUUUCACCUCGUACCACCUUCUCUCUAUGUAUUAUUCUACCCCUGAGAGUUUGUAAUCUGUAUAAUCUGACAUUGACUACCCCCUGCCUGUCAGCACCACACUAAUCUCACUGCACAGUGUUACUGUGUGGAUAUACAGGAUCUCACCUCUUGUUUGGUUAAGUUGUACAAUUACUGACUGUAUAUUCAGUCUCUUUCUUACACACAUUGUAAAUAGAUUUUUAUGGUAACCAUGCUUUUCACCACUUAGCCAAGCUGUCAUUGUACUGAUCAUUUCAAUUUCAACACUAUUAAUUAAACAGAAUAAUUUAGCCAUAAAUUAUAUAAACUUCCUCAAUGCGGUCCCUCAGUUAUGUCCAGCGUGCAAUUCUAGAAUUCAGUGGCUCUCUUUUCCCUCAUGGAUUAUGCUUGGGUGAUGCUGAUAAUGACUCGGUAAAUGGAGAUAAAUAUUGGGAUUUGUGGAAAUUGUAGAAUAUGUACACUUUCACUCUUUCAGUGCCUGGGAAAUUCUGUUCCUCAUUACCUAAUAAAACAUUUUAUUAUGGUUAUAUGCUUCUGCAAUUGAGGCAUUUUCUAGAAGUGUAAACAUUUUAAAGAGAGAUCUGGUAUAUAGUAAAUUAAUUGAAAGAUUUGUUUUUGGAUGUAGUGUUCAAACAAAGUGUUUAGUUUGAUUCUCUCAUUUCUCUAGCUGAAUGAACUAGUGAUUGGAGAUACCAGUGGGAAGCUACAUGUCUAUAAGAAUGACCAAAGUAAACCUUGGAUUACUCGUUCUUGCACUGGAAUGGUGAGUAUUCAAUCUAUAUUACCUUCCGAAACAUAUCAGAAAAAGUAUAGUCCUAUACAUCCAUGACUAUAUCGUAUUUUAAAUGCUCUUUGAGUAUGAUUUCUGGUUUAAUGCUGCCUUUUCAAUGUUCUUUCCUAGUUGACAUGUGUUGGUGUAGGAGAUGUCUGCAAUAAAGGCAAG